rnacentral:lncRNA from 1 species
AUGUACGUCCUGUGCACGCUCAUCCUGCUGUCCAUCCACAGCCUGUUCAAACGACCCACAGCGCUGGAGGCCCGCGAGAAUCCAGCUCGGGCUGAGGCUCUGGAGGACAGACAGAAGCCCAAGAAGGAGGCACUUCAGCUGGGCCGAAAGAAGCGGGCCAGACCCCCUCUGCCUGGAAGUUCUAGAGCUCCACACAGUGAAUGUAGAAACAGAACCGCUGGAGCCCACGGGCAGAGGAAACCAAGCAGCAGAGCACACCUGCAGAACACAGGUGACCCCUGCGAGAGAGUCCAGCCGGUCCAGCAGUGUGGUCUCCUCGGCCCGGCGGUCAUGUUCGGCACACGGAAGACCUGGGACCUCAGCCACACCCCCUGCCUGCAGGAGCUCUGGAACAAAGACCUCUCAUUGGAUGCAAGUUCAGUGGAUUUCCUGAUGAGCGAUGGUGAGGAGGAAAGCUCUUUCUUGACGUUGCCGAACACAGUCCUCCAGCGCCACUGCCUGACCUCUGACCUCCCAGAUCCUCAUUUAUCAGACCAGCAGCAGCUGCUCAUACAGGUACAACCUCUUUACAACUUGUUUUACUUAAUUCUUUAAUUGUAAAGAUAUUAUUUUCUUUUACC